UAUUAAUUCAUGUUACCAGGCUAACGUUAGCUAGCUUCACGGACUAGCUAGCACUGCUUCUUAGCUCUUCUACAGCAAGCUUUUGUUUAUAUUUCAGACGUUAUUAUGAACAGUAAUGUUAAUUACAUUUGCCGAUCUUCUUCAUCGCAGCAGAACCUCCUUGCUCGUGUCCGUGUCCGUGUGUGUGUGGGCCCGAACAGAACCGAACAUCACCCGGACGGUGUGACUUGCAGGCUGGAUGUGUGUGGAGCGGACAGAGGAGCCAGCUGGCACCGCGAGGAAAACCAGGAAUUUCUCUCUUUACGCAACUGUAACUGUACAGAUGAGAAACUGCACGGAGUCCUCCAGAGACAGAACCGGAAACAGGCCACAUUAAUCAACAAAUAAAAGCCCGGAUUAACCCAAAAUCAUCAGUAAUAUUCACCAGGAUGUGUUGAUAUUGAUUAUAUGUGGAUGUUGUAGUCACAGGAACAAUAAUGUUGGAGGAUGAUUGUUUAAAACACCUCAAUAUGAAUCAGAAAGACUUUAAGAAUAAUCAUUUUCUUGGUCUAUAACAUCUCUGUACAGUCAAACUGUUUCCUCCGACUACUGUUACUCAUCCAAACAAUCUGUCUCUGUUUGGAAGUAUUUAAAAAAAAAAAAAAAACAGUCUGCAAGUUUACAAAGUGGCCGAUAGAAGCUGUGUGUUAUUUAUUAAAGCCUGAUUCACUGUCGGUGAGCAACACGAGGAAGGAAUGCUGCCAGACGCUGUUGUGGCUUCACUGGAAAAGAAUCAGUUGUGCAACCCCCACACCAAACACUGAAGCACACAAUUCUAACCCUUAAGUGUCUUUAAUUUCAUGUUUAAUUGAAGUGCCAACAAUAAAGAAUUAAUGGCUUCUCUCCUGGA